AUAAAUCUGGUGGUACCAGAUUUGGGUACCACCCCAGUAUUGACCCAUCUUCAACGGCUUAUGUAUUUCGUACAUUCCUGCCAGCCAACAUGAAUAUCACCCA
rnacentral:ncRNA from 1 species